AUGCUGUAUCUUUUUUAGUUUUCGGAGCAGAAUUUGAUUGUUGCGUCAAAAAGCGCAAAUACUUGAGGGGACGAUAAGACCCCGUGAAGCUUUAUCUGGACGAGAGGCCGGCUGUCUUGGGAGCGCCGCAAAGAAGGAUUAAGCUGGGGCGGCAGUUAAUUUUUAACAUUAGCAAAGAUAACACAUAUUUGUGAGGAGGGAGGAUCUUUGUGAAAAAUAGAAUAAGCUACUCCGGGGAUAACAGCGCAAUUCUUUCGUAGAGUCCGUAUUGAGGGGAGAGACUUGCGACCUCGAUGUUGAAUUGAGAGAUCUUGGUUG
rnacentral:rRNA from 1 species